GUCAAUAACCCAUCACUAAAGUGACGGGCUUGAAAAGCCUUUAUUGAUUAGACUAAGUAUUAAAUUACUACGUUAUUAUAGUUAUCAUACCCUAGAAUAUUUAUCCUAGUUUUAGGCUCUAUGCAGGCACUGUAAACAUCUCUGAGGGUAGGAGAAGUCACCCUGAUUUGUAGGUUUUACCUAAAAGCUACUAUAACAUUGUCGAAGGAUAACUAAC
rfam:Epulopiscium sp. Nele67-Bin004 Nele67MMBin003_92, whole genome shotgun sequence.